UACGAAGGGGGCUAGCGUUGUUCGGAAUUACUGGGCGUAAAGCGCACGUAGGCGGAUCGAUCAGUCAGGGGUGAAAUCCCAGGGCUCAACCCUGGAACUGCCUUUGAUACUGUCGAUCUGGAGUAUGGAAGAGGUGAGUGGAAUUCCGAGUGUAGAGGUGAAAUUCGUAGAUAUUCGGAGGAACACCAGUGGCGAAGGCGGCUCACUGGUCCAUUACUGACGCUGAGGUGCGAAAGCGUGGGGGAGCAAACAGG
rnacentral:rRNA from 1 species